AUGGAAGCAUGUCAGGAUCAGCGUUGCACUUUGAUGCAUACUUUAAUCUCCAUUAGGGAGAUAGAAUACAUAACAUUUUAUUACUAUUUUCUACAGCUAAAAGAAUGCAUGUCAAGAGUACAUGACAAAGCCGGGACAAACAACAUGGAGUCAUCAGAUAACCGAAAUGACAGUCAAAGAAAGGACCCCAGUCUUCCUCUAACUCCUUCAUGGACACGACUCAGUAGUAUGAAGAUCCAGGAGCUGCCUAGUAGCUGUGAAACGGCCGACAGGAGGGGGGUCAUCGGCCGGAGUUCGGACCAGGAAUGUGGUGAGGACGUACCCCGCUUGGACCUGUCGGCUCUGACCAACAAUAACAACUGGGGAGGUAAAUCUUGA
rnacentral:lncRNA from 8 species